CAUGUCUUUUUGAGCAUAAUUUAAAGUYUGAUYUGCUCCAUGAUUAUUAAUAAUUAAAUAGCUGCAGAAUUUUAACUGUACAAAGGUAGCAUAAUCAAUAGUUUUUUAAUUAAAAGCUGGUAUGAAUGAUUUGAUAAGGUAAAUUUUGUCUCAAAUUUAAUAGAAAUAGAAUUUUUUUUUUAGUAAAAAUACUAAAUUGUUUUUAAAAGACGAGAAGACCCUAUAGAUUUUUAUAUUUUUGUGUAAAAUAUAUUUAAAGUAAAAAAUAAAAUUUUAUAUAAAAAUAUUUGGUUGGGGCAAUUAUUAAAUUUAAUAAAUUUUAAUAAUUUUAAACAAUGAUUAUUGAAAUUUUGAUCUUAUUAUAUAAAUUAUAAGAAUAAAAUACCUUAGGGAUAACAGCGUAAUUUUUUUGGAGAGAUCAUAUUGAUAAAAAAGUUUGCGACCUCGAUGUUGAAUUAAGAUAAAAUUUUAAUGUAGGUGUUAAAAAUUUUUGGUCUGUUCGACCAUUAAAAUCUUACGUG
rnacentral:rRNA from 1 species